rnacentral:rRNA from 1 species
AUUGAACGCUGGCGGCACGCCUAACACAUGCAAGUCGAGCGGUAGCAGGGUAUGUAGAAAUACAUAUUGCUGACGAGCGGCGGACGGGUGAGGAAGACGUAGGAAUUUACCUUGAAGAGGGGGACAACCAAGGGAAACUUUGGCUAAUACCGCAUAAACUCGAGAGAGGAAAGCUGCCGUAAGGUAGCGCUUUAAGAGGAGCCUACGACCGAUUAGCUAGUUGGAGGGGUAAGAGCCCACCAAGGCGAUGAUCGGUAACUGGUCUGAGAGGACGACCAGUCACACUGGGACUGAGACACGGCCCAGACUCCUACGGGAGGCAGCAGUGGGUAAUAUUGGACAAUGGGGGGAACCCUGAUCCAGCGAUGCCGCGUGAGUGAAGAAGGCCUUCGGGUCGUAAAGCUCUUUAGGUUGGGACGAAGUGUAUCUGAGGAUAAUGCAGAAACAUUGACGGUACUAACAGAAUAAGCACCGGCAAACUCUGUGCCAGCCGCCGCGGUAAAAC